rnacentral:rRNA from 1 species
UAGGGAAUCUUCGGCAAUGGGGGGAACCCUGACCGAGCAACGCCGCGUGAGUGAAGAAGGUUUUCGGAUCGUAAAGCUCUGUUGUUAAGGAAGAACGAGUGUGAGAAUGGAAAGUUCAUACUGUGACGGUACUUAACCAGAAAGGGACGGCUAACUACGUGCCAGCAGCCGCGGUAAUACGUAGGUCCCGAGCGUUGUCCGGAUUUAUUGGGCGUAAAGCGAGCGCAGGCGGUUAGAUAAGUCUGAAGUUAAAGGCAGUGGCUCAACCAUUGUAGGCUUUGGAAACUGUUUAACUUGAGUGCAGAAGGGGAGAGUGGAAUUCCAUGUGUAGCGGUGAACUGCGUAGAUAUAUGGAGGAACACCGGUGGCGAAAGCGGCUCUCUGGUCUGUAACUGACGCUGAGGCUCGAAAGCGUGGGGAGCGAACAGG